rnacentral:rRNA from 2 species
GCAUAUCAAUAAGCGGAGGAAAAGAAACCAACAGGGAUUGCCCCAGUAACGGCGAGUGAAGCGGCAACAGCUCAAAUUUGAAAUCUGGCCCCAGGCCCGAGUUGUAAUUUGCAGAGGAUGCUUUUGGCGCGGUGCCUUCCGAGUGCCCUGGAACGGGACGCCACAGAGGGUGAGAGCCCCAUCUGGUUGGACACCAAGCCUAUGUAAAGCUCCUUCGACGAGUCGAGUAGUUUGGGAAUGCUGCUCUAAAUGGGAGGUAUAUGUCUUCUAAAGCUAAAUACCGGCCAGAGACCGAUAGCGCACAAGUAGAGUGAUCGAAAGAUGAAAAGCACUUUGAAAAGAGGGUUAAAUAGUACGUGAAAUUGUUGAAAGGGAAGCGCUUAUGACCAGACUUGGGCCCGGUGAAUCAUCCAGCGUUCUCGCUGGUGCACUUUGCCGGGCACAGGCCAGCAUCAGUUCGCCGCGGGGGAUAAAGGCUUCGGGAAUGUGGCUCCCUCGGGAGUGUUAUAGCCCGUUGCACAAUACCCUGGGGCGGACUGAGGUUCGCGCAUCUGCUAGGAUGCUGGCGUAAUGGUCAUCAGCGACCCGUCUUGAAACACGGACC